rnacentral:rRNA from 1 species
UACGGAGGGUGCAAGCGUUAUCCGGAUUUACUGGGUUUAAAGGGUGUGUAGGCGGGCUAUUAAGUCAGUGGUGAAAUCUCCGGGCUCAACCCGGAAACUGCCAUUGAUACUAUUAGUCUUGAAUUUUGUUGAGGUAGGCGGAAUAAGUCAUGUAGCGGUGAAAUGCAUAGAUAUGACUUAGAACACCAAUUGCGAAAGGCAGCUUACUAAGCAAAUAUUGACGCUGAGGCACGAAAGCGUGGGGGAUCAAAACAGGA